rnacentral:lncRNA from 1 species
GAUGCCGCGCGCGACGAGGUCGGUCGCGACGAGGAUGCGCUUGUUACCCUCCUUGAACGAUUUGUACCGCGCCAGGCGCUCCUCCUGCGACAUGCCGCGGUGGAUGGCGAUGGACGGAAAGUUGCACUCGGUGAGGAGCUUGUCGAGGUACGUGCAGCGCUGCACGGACUUGACGAAGAUGACCACCUGGUUGAACAUGAGCGCGUCGAGGAGGUCAUUGAGUUUGCGGUUCUUCUCCGCCUCGGUCAGCUUGAUGUAGUGCUGGACGAGGCCGUGGAGGGUGAGCUUGGUCUCGUCGUCGACGUAAAUCUCCAUAGGGUCGUUCAUAAACUUUUUGAUCACGGGGCGAAUCUCCUUGGACAGCGUGGCGGAGAACAUCAUGACCUGCUUGUCGUGCGGGGUCAUCUUGAAGAUCUCCUGGACGUCCGCGCGCAUGUCGAGCUGCUCGAGCAUCUUAUCGCACUCGUCGAGGAUGAAGUGGCCGCACUGCUUGAGGGAGAUGUCGCCGUCCUUGGCCAGCGCCUUGCAGCGGCCGGGGGUGGCGACGAUGAUGCUCGGGGGCUUCUCCUUGAGCUCCGCCUUCUGCUGCUUGAUGUUGACGCCGCCGAAGAUGACG